UUCACUUCUGGAAAGAAGAAAAUCAGAGAAAAGAAGAUGAAAUGAUGGAAAAAAAAUAUGUGAGCAAAGAGAGGUUAUAUAAUUAAAUUGACAAUACUGGUUUUUGCACACGAUAUUCAACGAGGACAUUAUUGAAAAACACAUGGGUAGAAGGGAAAAUAUUGUCUGUCCAGAACGAUGAUGAACCUCCAAUUAAUAGACGAUACACAGUUAAUGUUCUAGCACAAGAUAUUGUCGUCAGGGACAUUUUAAAUGGGAAGGCUAGCUUAAUAUAGACCAGGUGAACUGGUGUGGUAUAACAUCAACCUUUGCAAUGUAGACCAUGAUUAUGCAAGUCAUGAAUACCUACACACUGAUGCUCCAGUAUUGUCUGUAAUUAAAAGAAACAAAAAAUUUGUUUAUAGGUGAUAUUGAAAAAGAAACUCCUGCAUCAACUUACCGAUACUGAGAGAGAUACUAAAUAAGAACAGACACAAUAUGACCUUCAUAGUGAAUUCUUUCUGACCGUUUCUGACUCGUUUUUGAGUGCAACAUGGUAUAUAUAGUAACGAUUGA